rnacentral:rRNA from 1 species
UACGAAGGGUGCUAGCGUUGCUCGGAAUCACUGGGCGUAAAGCGCACGUAGGCGGCUUGUUAAGUCAGGGGUGAAAUCCUGGAGCUCAACUCCAGAACUGCCUUUGAUACUGGCAAGCUUGGAGUCCGGGAGAGGUGAGUGGAACUGCGAGUGUAGAGGUGAAAUUCGUAGAUAUUCGCAAGAACACCAGUGGCGAAGGCGGCUCACUGGCCCGGUACUGACGCUGAGGUGCGAAAGCGUGGGGAGCAAACAGG